rnacentral:misc_RNA from 1 species
UUUCCGUAGGUGAACCUGCGGAGGGAUCAUUACAGAGUUCAUGCCCUACCGGGUAGAUCUCCCACCCUAUGUUAUUAUUACUUUGUUGCUUUGGCGGGCCGUUAGGCUCCGGCCCGACUACCGGCCCCGGCUGGUAAGCGCCCGCCAGAGGACCCAAAACCCUGAAUAUUAGUGUCGUCUGAGUACUAUAUAAUAGUUAAAACUUUCAACAACAGAUCUCUUGGUUCUG